rnacentral:misc_RNA from 1 species
UUUUUUUUUUUUUUUUUUUUUGCGUAUAUACGUGUUAACUGAAUGGUUUAACAAUCCUUGAGUCUUUGUAGUGGAACUGGUUUGCUUGAGAUUAAUCUGUAAUUGCACUUGCAAUUUUGAUCAUUUAUUUAUCUGAUUUGACCCGUGUUUAUGAGAAAUUACAUUUUAAAAUCCUUUAUGGUAUGGUAUGGUUCAAUACAUAUUGGAGUUCCUUCUUUUUCAAGAUCCAACAUUUUAUUUCCGAAUUUUAUAAGAUCAACAUUUUCCUUUAUCACGCAAAAGGAGACCAAAAUCAAUGUAGUUUUAAUUUAAAAAAAAAAAAACAAUUGGUUAUGUAUUAAAGGACUACCUAACUACUGGAUUUUAAAAAAGGAGGGGCCAAUGUAUGAAUUUGGACAAACCUCAACUGUGUUAUUUUGGGUAAUUUUUGCCUGUAAUAAUAUCAUUAUACAUCUCAAUCAUUGGUAGGAUAAGUGUGAAAAGAGAGGCAACCAUCGCUAAUAUGAGCAAAUGAUUAUGUCACCUUCGACAUGUUAUUAUGAGCUCUUUUUAGCUAAUUGCGCUGGGAAUUUUAGUAGCAAUACCAAAUUCUUCCAUCUUAUUUCUCAGUUCAGGAUAAUUUUAAUUCUUAUUUAUUGCUUUGUUGACCAAUUGAAGAUGCUGUUGAAAAUGUUGAUUUAGAUUUUUGUUUCCAAGAUUUAGACUCCUGUUAAUCUGGUGGCUUUUAACUCAUGACUGUGUUAUGUUUAGUUGCACGCUUGUACUCAUUUAUGUGAUUUCCAUUUCAAUUUAGUUGCAUCGAUACCGUGUCAAGUGGAAUUCAAUUCCUUAAAAAGUGCUAACACUCAACAUGUGGAACUCAAACAAAUGUUUAGCUAUGUCCUCUUUCUUUUAUUUUGUAUUAAUGCCACCAUAUUGAAGAUUUAACCACCCAGAACCUUUUUAUAAUGUUAUCUGUGGAUGUCACUGC